rnacentral:ncRNA from 1 species
ACCUUCCUUGUCUUAGGGGAGCAUAAUGUCCAAUGAUCGUCUAGUGAGGACAUUGAUGCUGACACCCAUUUAAAUACACAACCCCUGCCCGUACCUUGUAAAACAGGUGCGAGUGGAAUUUUUGGAAGG